GACGAACGCUGGCGGCGUGCUUAACACAUGCAAGUCGAACGGAAAGGCCCUGCUUUUGUGGGGUGCUCGAGUGGCGAACGGGUGAGUAACACGUGAGUAACCUGCCCUUGACUUUGGGAUAACUUCAGGAAACUGGGGCUAAUACCCGACAUGAGCUCCUGCUGCACGGUGGUGGUUGGAAAGUUUCGGCGGUUGGGGAUGGACUCGCGGGUUAUCAGCUUGUUUGGGGGGUAGUGGCGUACCAAGGCUUUGACGGGUAGCCGGCCUGAGAGGGUGACCGGCCACAUUGGGCCUGAGAUAGGGCCCAGAAUGCAACGGGAGGCAGCGGUGGGAAAUAUUGCACAGUGGGCGGAAGCGUGAUGCAGCGAUGCCGCGUGCGGGAUGACGGCCUUCGGGUUGUAAACCGCUUUCGCCUGUGACGAAGCGUGAGUGACGGUAAUGGGUAAAGAAGCACCGGCUAACUACGUG
rnacentral:rRNA from 1 species